GAAGAAGAUAGUGGACAAUAUUGCUUCAAGUCGAGCCACUGAGAAUUCUGUGGUGAGGUCCAUGGCGUUAAGGCCAUUCUCCCGGAAGGCUUCGAUAAGGUUCCAGAUGUCCACUGAGUGCACUGCAAGCAGAGAGGUAUAAGCUACAGGAGUCAGUGGCUUCUUUGCAGUAGGAGCAGCUGCAUUUUCAGAGAGUCUGCUCUUCAGACCUGUUGCAUCUUGAAGCCCUAUUUCUGGAUGGGGUUCUCAUCAAAUAAAAAAAAUCUCGCUGCCACUAAGGAUGCUCCACAUGAACAGCUCCACAUGCUCCACAUGAGAAGCCUAAUAAACCCUUGAGAUUACUGUGGAGGGUUAUCACUUAGUAACCAGGAAGAAGGCAGUGGGCUGCAAUUAAUACAAAGAGUUUUGCUACAAUAGCUUAGGACUAUAAUUGCCAUUGAGUUUUGCAAUUGAGUCUCCAGCAGUGAACUUAAAAAAUGAUGAAAGUAUAAUAAAUGAAUAUCAUAUAAUUCAGAGGAAGAUGGGCUUUGUUUAGAAUCAGGUUUCUAUAAAGGUUUCUUUCUCAUAUCAUCUUAGGAUUUUUUUUUCAUGCGACUGUCACCUUUAGGGAGAAAUGUACAUGACUGAACUGGCAUAAAUCUGUAUUUCUGUGAAUCCGCUCUGUAACAAUGUUUAUUCUCAAAGUGCUAUGUUGUUCUCCUGUGAUAUUACUGCAACGGGUUGUUUAUAGGAACUUAGAGCCAUAUGUAAAACAUGUGUUGUGUGUUUUUGUUUUUUAAUCAUUAAUCGGUGUAA